rnacentral:rRNA from 1 species
GACGAACGCUGGCGGCGUGCUUAACACAUGCAAGUCGAACGGAAAGGCCCUGCUUUUGUGGGGUGCUCGAGUGGCGAACGGGUGAGUAACACGUGAGUAACCUGCCCUUGACUUUGGGAUAACUUCAGGAAACUGGGGCUAAUACCGGAUAGGAGCUCCUGCUGCAUGGUGGGGGUUGGAAAGUUUCGGCGGUUGGGGAUGGACUCGCGGCUUAUCAGCUUGUUGGUGGGGUAGUGGCUUACCAAGGCUUUGACGGGUAGCCGGCCUGAGAGGGUGACCGGCGACAUUGGGACUGAGAGACGGACCAGACGGCUACGGGAGGCAGCAGGGGGGAAUAUUGCAGAAUGGGCGGAAGCCUGAUGUAGCAACGCCGCGUGCGGGAUGACGGCCUUUGGGUUGUAAACCGCUGUCGCCGGUACCGAACAGUGCGUGACGGUAAUGGGUAAAGAAGCCCCGGCUAACUACGUG